rnacentral:rRNA from 1 species
UACGGGGGGGGCAAGCGUUGUUCGGAAUUACUGGGCGUAAAGGGCUCGUAGGUGGCCAACUAAGUCGGACGUGAAAUCCCUCAGCUUAACUGGGGAACUGCGUCCGAUACUGGAUGGCUUGAGUUUGGGAGAGGGAUGCGGAAUUCCAGGUGUAGCGGUGAAAUGCGUAGAUAUCUGGAGGAACACCGGUGGCGAAGGCGGCAACCUGGACCAACACUGACACUGAGGAGCGAAAGCCAGGGGAGCAAACGGG